AGCGAGUGUUGUCCUGCUACGGGAUGGGAUCCGAAGAUUCGUAAAGAUUCCAUCCAACCCCUAUUCCGACACGUCCACGUCGUGCAGAGUGGUAACAUGGGCCCAAACCUAACCUUUUGGGCGGGUGACGGCUCAUGGCUAAGGAGGAAGGG
rnacentral:ribozyme from 1 species